rnacentral:rRNA from 1 species
UACGUAGGGCGCAAGCGUUGUCCGGAAUUAUUGGGCGUAAAGAGCUCGUAGGCGGUCUGUCGCGUCUGCUGUGAAAACUCGGGGCUUAACCCCGGGCCUGCAGUGGGUACGGGCAGACUAGAGUGCGGUAGGGGAGACUGGAAUUCCUGGUGUAGCGGUGAAAUGCGCAGAUAUCAGGAGGAACACCGGUGGCGAAGGCGGGUCUCUGGGCCGUAACUGACGCUGAGGAGCGAAAGCAUGGGGAGCGAACAGG